CAAGCAACAAGGCAGUAGUCUGCCAACAAAAAGCAAGUAGAGCAGAAAGUGGAUGAACAGCAGCCAAACCAGAACUGCACACAAAACAGAGAGAAAAAAUCAAAUCUACCCAAAAACAAGAUGGGGGAAAAAAGGUGUCUCUGUGUGUAAACACAUACUUUUUCUCUUUGUGCUGAAAGCUGAGUACAGGUCUCUCUUCUUACACAUCUGAACUGUUUGUGUGCUCUGAAUAGCGUAUUCCUCUGUUUUCUUUUAAAGGAUGAAGCAAAGCCCAGGACCCUGUGCUUCAAAUAUUCUCAUACCAUGGUAUUUAUUUUUUUACAAGCAAUUGUGGAGUCCUGCAAGAGCUGCAUUUUGAUUAUCCAGGUGCACAGUGCAACUUGCUUCCAUCCUGAGUUACUGACUUGAACCUCUCCCUACCCAGCCCAUGUGGCUGUCACAGAGGAGAGUCAGAUGGCGCAAAGGACUUGCAGGAAAAGCACGCAGGGGAAAACAAGUACAUGUGAUUUGUGUCUAGUUGAGUCAAAAUGAAAAAGAAAGCUUCUUUUCUCUUACCAUGGGGUCUUUUGUCUCACUGUUACAGCUUGCAUUUAGCUUUACAUGCAAGGUGGGUGAGCUAAAAAACCAGGAAAUUACAACUGAGAGACACGAACAGCAGCAGCACCACAUUGAACAAAGGAGAAUUUGCAGGAAACACCUAUUGUUUUUAAACAAGUUCAGGCAAAGAGAACCAAAUGCAUUUGUGCUAGAAGAAAGAAAUUCUGUGAUCUGGUGUGUAGAUGUGUCAGGGCAACGUGACAGAAAAGAUGAGGGUAUCCAUGUACCACAUGCUUUAAGCUAAUAUCAGUUUAUAGAAGGCUGUGAGGGGUUCCAGCGGAAAGAUUACAUGAGGUUUGUUCCUUGUAUCCCUUUAAGGAAGUGGGUUUUGGUUCACAAUUCUCAGAGAGAUAGUCUAGUGUAACAAUUUUGUAUUUAGGAAGGUACAGCUGAGCUUUGGUUAUAUGUUUUCCAAUUGGAUCUUACUCUGAAGAAAAAGCAAAUUGGGAAUAAGUUGUGAAGAUCUGCUUUGUGGAAGGCUAAGAUUUGACGUAGUUUUGGCUCAUUUUCUGAUAAGGAUAGAAAACAGAAAGCCAGUCUUUACCUUGGAUAAACUAAGAAGUAAAGGAGAAAGCAAGAUGUUUCGCUUCUGGCUUCAAUUUGAUGUGCUGGUAUCCCCUGCCAAAUUGCCUGUCAAAAGCAAACGGUGAUCUCCCUGCUUAGUGCUGUUUGUCUGUGCUAAUGCUCCAUUGUCCAGUUUAGUAGCAAGUGUGUAUACGCCAAGGUCUGAUUUUCUCUGAGAACUAAAUAUGGUAAAACACAAUAUUCUACUGAACCCUUCCAUUUAUUCAAUUCACUUCGGUAUAAAAGUGUAUGACUCCGUGAAAAUUCAGCUUCAUAUUGGAAGUGUUUUCCUCAGAAGAUAGAACAGCUGUACCUGAGUUCAUGUUCUGGAUUUAUUGCAAUGCAUUGAAUAAACAUGUGCUUACACACAGUUUUCUGCCAGUAAGACUCAGAGAUGUAUCAAUUAUGUAACUCCCACUGAAAAUAAGAGUAAGUGAAAAAUCUGUAUUUGUUGAUCUAUUAUGUUUUUUUUUAAAUAGGGAAUAAUUGUUCUGUUUCCUGCUAAAAUGAUUCAAUGAUGCCAAAAAUAUUGAUGCAGAACCGCUAUAAAGAAAAGGUGUAAAAAGCGUCGGCUAUCAGCAGCGCAGCAGCAGUGAGAGCUGCAGCUGCAUGCGAUCCCAUAGCAGCGAGCAGGGCUUGUCUGAAAGCAAAGAAUGAUGGAUUUUGAAGAGGAAACUAGACCCAUUUCAGAUAAUUAUAUUAGUGAGUCCAGUUCUGCAUUACCUGCAAGAGCAGGAAUGACAGAUCUUCAAGGACCCCAGGUACUUCCUGAGCUACCUGCCCUGGCAGCCCAGGAGACCCACCACAUCUUUGUCAGUUAUAGUAACAUCAGUUCAGCCUGGGUGAGGAACCUUAUCCAGAGCCUAGGAGCCAUGGUUCCUGAUCUGAAGGCCUGUUAUCAUCAAGGGACUUUAACCAGGUAAAACAAUAAUUGAAAACAUGGUUGAGACUAUUCAAGAAAUCCAGAAAAUUGUCUUAGCCCUCAGUCCUGACUUUGUCCAGAACAGGUGGAGCCCUCUGAAAGCCAAUCUGUCUGUCUUCCAAGACUGUUUAGAAAGGAGGCCAGUGAUCCCCAUCAUGUUGGUGCCCUGUUUAGUGGUGCUGCGCAUCACCUGUUUGACUUACAUUGACACCAGUUAUGUCCGCUGUUUGGAUAAAGUUAUUAAGAUCAUUUGUGCUCCCAACCACAAGAUUAAGACUGCCACCAUGGUUCCUUAUAGCUAUCCAUCCAUUUGCAAUGGGAAAUCCCUUCUGGCCUGACCUGCAGUGGAUGAUCAGGUCAUUCCAAAAAGGAGAGAAAGCACAUUCAGUGAGGCACUGCCUGACCAGCUGAAGAUAGUCAGUGAAGAUACUGAGGUCUGCAGAAAGGCCAUCCAGAUGAUUAAUGAGGUAUCCUCUAGGGUAUCACCUUGUUCAUCAAUCAGUAUCAUCUUCAGGAUAUCAGCUUGCCUGUUAGGAAGCUUAUAUUUGAUGAUUGCUAUCUUCUUAUUUGCUUCAUUAGGACGGGACUCUGGUGACUCCUAUAAAACUUUCCUUGACUAUGUUAUGGUCUUAGCAACUUUGUUUACCUGUUCUGCUUUUGUUAAUUGUACCUACAACCACAAAAUCAAAUCAGUUGAUGAGAAACUUCUGGAGAUGUCCUAAGUUGCUGGUGAGGCCAAAUCAUUGCUGAUAAACAAUUCCCUGCUGGUUGGCCAUGAUCCCAGAGUGAAGCUCCAGUUAUUUUACAUCUCUCUUGCAGGGUGCAGAAGGCACUUCUUGGAGACUUUUGAAGAGGGAGAACCCUCUACCAAAGAGAUGUUCCAGUGAGCCCUGCACUAUUUUUCCUCUGAUCACGCCCAUUGUGUAGCAAAAGGCACUUCCAGUUCUACUUGGGGACCACACCAGGGCACUGGGAUAAAGGACCCUGGUUUUGCUAGUUUGUUUCCCGUUAUGUGGAAGAAGGGUCCUGGCUCUGGGAUCUUUAGUGAUUCAAAAAGCCCUUUGGAAUGCAUAUAAUAAGGUAAAAGUGCAAGCUAGUCUAUUCCAAAGCUUUAGCAGUGGAUCUUUGCACAACAGAAGUCCCUGUACAAAUGGCAGUCUCUCUGCCUUUGGGAGCUGCCCUGGAGUUUCCAUGUGAGGAUUCGUGGUGGUGACUCUGUGGGAUGCUUGCUCUGCUAUUGCCUAUGCACACUUGCUUACAAACUGUUUACCUCCCCUUGUCAGCUAUUUUAGACUGUGGAAGUAAAUGUUUGAUUCCCCCGGACUUUCUGAUAAAAAAAAAAAAAAUAUUUGUGGUGCUACUCCGGUUUUGAUUUGGGGUGGGGAUUUUUUUGUUUACUUUUGGAACUAGAAAUGCUAGAAGAAUAAAAUCUGGUCUAAGGAAAUCCCACUGAAGUUCUUCAUGUUGGUCGUGGAAUUGAAGACCAGGGUGUGUGUUUUGUCCCCACAGAACUGGGUUGGUAAGGUUCAGAACUGAAAGGGCUAUUUUUAUUUUCUGUUAAAUACAUGCGAAUAAAAAUGGCAAAGAUCAAACAAUUUGAUUUGAAGUCACUUUCAACUCCAGUUACUGUGGGUUUAUUUUCAUGCAUCUUCUGAUAUCACAUAGACUUCCAAGAAGACUGGGAGGAGAAUGCCUGAAUAUCUGAUGAAAAGCUAAAGCAUUCUUAUAUAUUUGCAGAGUGUUUAUGAAAUUGGAUAGGUUUUCAUUACAUAUAAAUACUUUUUGAAAAAAGGGCAGCCUUUCUUCUUUGUUUCCCUUUUU